CUCUAUUUCAUUAGCACAUAUACUAAAAUUGGAACGAUACAGAGAAGAUUAGCAUGGCCCCUGUGCAAGGAUGACACACAAAUUCGUGAACCCUUCCAUAUUUAA